UGGGGAAUAUUGGACAAUGGGCGCAAGCCUGAUCCAGCAAUGCCGCGUGUGUGAAGAAGGCCUGCGGGUUGUAAAGCACUUUCAGCGGGGAAGAAAAGCCCGAAGCUAAUACCCUCGGGUCUUGACGUUACUCGCAGAAGAAGCACCGGCUAACUCCGUGCCAGCAGCCGCGGUAAUACGGAGGGUGCAAGCGUUAAUCGGAAUCACUGGGCGUAAAGCGCGCGUAGGCGGCCAGGUAAGUCAGAUGUGAAAGCCCCGGGCUCAACCUGGGAACCGCAUUUGAUACUGCCGGGCUCGAGUCCGAGAGAGGGGGGUGGAAUUCCAGGUGUAGCGGUGAAAUGCGUAGAUAUCUGGAGGAACACCGGUGGCGAAGGCGGCCCCCUGGCUCGAGACUGACGCUGAGGUGCGAAAGCGUGGGGAGCAAACA
rnacentral:rRNA from 1 species